AGAUUAAUGCUAAAGAUGUGAACAGAUUUCAAGUGGCAUAUGCCAGUCUUUUGAAGGGCAACAUGGAUGGCUUGAAGAAAAAAGACAAGAAGAAAACUUCAAUUAAAUCAAAAGCCACGCAAUAAAUAUGCUUAAAUCUUUUAUCUUACAUUACUUUUAUUUUCUGUUUCAUAAAAAUAGCUUCAGAAGUUGUUAAUGAUUCGAUAGACAAUUAUCUCUGUUUAGGCACUAUUUGUAAAAGAAAACAAACAGGACAUUUUGACAAUAUCAUUCUCUGUAACUUUGAAAAAAGAAAACAUUAAUGUUUCUUCCUGAUUAUGUUGUAAAUAUUUUCAAAUAAAAGAUAAUAAAAAUGUUCUCUAAUUUUUAUCUCAGUAUCUCUGGGUAAAACUUUUAAGUUUUCUUAUAAUAUACAAGAAAUUUACAAGUAUUUACAGAAUGUCAGAACUCCUUACAGAACACAUUUUUGGUAUAUGCAAUACAUUUUCCAUUCAUCAUUUGAACUUUUUAUUCGGAAAUUGUGAUGUGAAAAUUAAAAAGUUGUAUACAU